UACGAACUGUGCAAACGUUAUUCGGAAUCACUGGGCUUAAAGGGUGCGCAGGCGGUCUGCUAAGCAGGGAUGUGAAAGCCCCCGGCUCAACCGGGGAAUUGCGCCCUGAACUGGCAGGCUUGAGUGAGAUAGAGGUGUGGGGAACUUCCGGUGGAGCGGUGGAAAUGUGUUGAUAUCGGAAGGAACGCCAGAGGCGAAAGCGCCACACGUGGGUCUCAACUGACGCUGAGGCACGAAAGCCAGGG
rnacentral:rRNA from 1 species